GACGAACGCUGGCGGCGUGCCUAAUACAUGCAAGUCGAACGAUGAAGCGAGGAGCUUGCUCUUCUGGGUUUAGCGGCGGACGGGUGAGUAACACGUGGGUAACCUCCCUCUAAGCCGGGGAUAACUACGGGAAACCAGAGCUAAUACCGCAUAAUAUUUUGUGCCUCAUGCAUUAUUAGUGAAAGACGGAUUUGCUGUAACUGAUGGAUGGCCUCGCGUCGAAUUAGUUGGUUGGUAGGGAAAGGGCCUACUAAGGCGGCGAAGCGUAGCCGCCCGGAGGGGGGGGUGGCCCGACAGGGAACUGAGCACGGGCCCAGCUCCCUACGGAGGGAGGCAGGAGGGAAGCUUGCGCAAUGGGGGAAAGCUGGACGGAGCACCGCCGCGGGAGUGAGGAGGGUGUCCGGACGGUAAAACUCUGUUUUUGGGAAAGAAGAAAGUGGGAAGUGACUGUGCACGUCUUGACGGUAGCUAAUCAGAAAGCGACGGCUAACUACGUG
rnacentral:rRNA from 1 species